rnacentral:rRNA from 1 species
AUUGAACGCUGGCGGCAUGCCUUACACAUGCAAGUCGAACGGCAGCAUGAUCUAGCUUGCUAGAUUGAUGGCGAGUGGCGAACGGGUGAGUAAUACAUCGGAACGUGCCCUGUAGUAGGGGAUAACUAGUCGAAAGAUUAGCUAAUACCGCAUACGACCUGAGGGUGAAAGUGGGGGACCGCAAGGCCUCAUGCUAUAGGAGCGGCCGAUGUCUGAUUAGCUAGUUGGUGAGGUAAAGGCUCACCAAGGCGACGAUCAGUAGCUGGUCUGUGAGGACGAUCAGCCACACUGGGACUGAGACACGGCCCAGACUCCUACGGGAGGCAGCAGUGGGGAAUUUUGGACAAUGGGGGCAACCCUGAUCCAGCAAUGCCGCGUGUGUGAAGAAGGCCUUCGGGUUGUAAAGCACUUUUGUCCGGAAAGAAAUCGCACUUACUAAUAUUAGGUGUGGAUGACGGUACCGGAAGAAUAAGGACCGGCUAACUACGUGCCAGCCGCCGCGGUAACAC